rnacentral:rRNA from 1 species
UACGUAGGGUGCAAGCGUUGUCCGGAAUUACUGGGCGUAAAGAGCUCGUAGGUGGUUUGUCGCGUUGUUCGUGAAAACUCACAGCUCAACUGUGGGCGUGCGGGCGAUACGGGCAGACUUGAGUUCGGCAGGGGAGACUGGAAUUCCUGGUGUAGCGGUGAAAUGCGCAGAUAUCAGGAGGAACACCGGUGGCGAAGGCGGGGUCUCUGGGCCGAUACUGACGCUGAGGAGCGAAGACGUGGGGAGCGAACAGG